UCCGAUCAAAAUAAUUCAACAGAAAAAGUAGUACACAUGUACAACAAGACGAUGGAAUUAAACCAAGGCCUAGCUCAAUGGAAAAUUGAACAGAAUCAUGAAAGGCAGAAGCACAAGGUUCGGAAAUCAGAACAAAACAAAAAUAAUCUGGAGCAGAUCACAGAGUGAAACAACUGACAUCUUCCAAAGUGAAGCAAAGCACAUUUGAAACUAACUAGAAUACGGCUGGACUUCUAAAAUUCUUAGAAUGUGUUAAAAGCUCGCAAUGAAAUAUUGCCCUGGAAACUAAAUUCAGUAAAAACUUGACAAAGCUGAUAUAAUACAACCUUCCAUCCAUACGGCAAUCUGUAGUCGGUAAAUCUCCAAGUCAUGUCAGAACCAAUGUUCGUAGACUGUCGAUGUAUAAUCUGAGAGUGGAGAACCAAUGUUGCCAUAAAUAAGAACCAAUGGCACUUGGUUUCGCACCAAUCUACUGUCAGUAGAUCAAGAAACUGCAAAUUUUACAUUUACAUUGCUACAACAACACAAUCAUUUUGCAGAGAUUAGGAGAACCAUCUAGUACCAUCAAACUGCUACAGAAAAUCAGCAAAAUGCAUCAUCGGCCUACUGUCGGUGGAUUAUCGGCCUAAAAUCUUACUGUACAUUAUUUAUUAUUACUACUAUAAGGAGCACAACUGUAUGGCAGAGAUUAGUAACAACUAUACAUCACAGCAGAAAUAAUUUCAUUACUUUUGAAGUCUCGGUUUACAAGAGGAAUCACAAAUUCAGUUCUUGCAACCAAAGAGCCAAGCAAUAAUUGGACUAAAAUAAGAUCAGGUUGACCUCCAGAUGCUCCUGCAAAUUCAUCUGCAAGAAAUGUCAUAUUACCAAUAGUUGCAAGUAUAGUACAGUUCUACCAUGAACCUUACACUAGCAGUAGCAGCUGUUAACUAACAAACGACCACGGAUAUAACAACACACUUGAACCCCAACUGAAUAUUACAACUCAAUAUUACAUUGGCAUUAUUAUUUAAUAAUUAUCACAAUAUGUAGAGUCGGAUUACAGUUGUUUGUUUUCUCGCGCACAUUUUAGGAGAAAUAAUUAGUUCAGGGUGUUGAGCGAAGCACAAUGGUUAAACAGAGUUUCAUUGAUGCCCUUUUCCCUCUACAAUCAGUGCUCAAAGAAGCCGGUUGUACACCAAGUUGCUGACAGGAGAUUAAUAAGAGCUGAUGACACACUGCUCUGAAUACUUUGUAAUUGGCUAUACAAAAGAUAUGAACGUUUCACAACUGGGUUGAUGAAGACCCUUUCUGGAGCAUAAAUAUUUUUUCCCUUUUUGAUGAUUUAUGUAGGAAUCAAACUGUAAAAUUCCUGCUUCCGAAGAUGGCCAUUGCAACAAUAAACUUAAAAAGCGUUUGAUCAUAUAUUUUUAUUCUGCACUACAACUCCACGCAUCUAUGAUUUACUACAUAUACUUACUAAUGAGUACUACUGUACUAAUUAUUCCCAAUUAUGUGAACAAGGAUCCAGUAGAGAAAACCAAUCUUGUUGAGAUGACUAGGUGAGCAGUCAUCUCAUUUCCUGCUACUCUGCUUCUGAGCCUGGUGCUGCUCCUGUGCAGCUGUGCGGACGUGAUGGCCAACAUCGAGAUUGGCGACCCCCGCGGCUUUCUCCGGCGAGCAGCUGGCUAACGCAACCCGUAGAGACCGCACGGCCGCGUCCGGCCGCCCGGCCCCGAGCGCAGCGCACGCCUCGCCCAUGACUCCAACACCGGCAUGCUCGGUCGAGGUCUAGAACCCUAGACUAUGACCAACAAAGGGGGACGGGAGGGGACGGGAGGGGGCAGUGCGGAAUUACAUACCAGAGAAAAGGAAGGGAGGCACUCAGGCCGGCGUGGAGGAGGCUGCGGACGGUGGCGCGUGGAGAAGCUGGUGGCGGCGGGGUGGAUGAGGCGUGCGCUGCGCUCGGGGAUGUGCUUCCGCGAGCCCCUCGACGAGGGUCCUGAAACGCGUGGGUAGGAGGGGAUUGAAGGGGAAAGAAGAGAAUUGGGCUGCG
rnacentral:lncRNA from 1 species